GUGACCGGUGACUGGCUGCUGCAGCCAAUGAUGCGAUUCACAUACGUAUUUACCAUAGACUGUAUAUAAUGGUAUUUACGCAGCUAAUCAACGUCAGGUGUCCUUAUGUGCAGCCACCGUUGUUCUCAUACAUAUGAAUGAGUAGAUAGGACACGCCCCUUUGAGCUGCAUGCUACAGCGAGGCUAAGCUAGUGGGGGCAAAGUUUCAAUGCAUUCCGUUGAUGUAGACGGCGUGAAAACGGAAACAACAAGUAUGCCGGCUCACUGUGCUGCAUACAAUUACACACUGCGUCGUACGAUUGAGACAAGGAAACUUGGAAUGACUUCUCAUAGGUUUCCCAGAGACUAUGGAUUGAGGAGGAAUUGGAAGUUUGUCGGCUUAGACCUGGUGUCAUUCCAUCAGUGUUUAACUUCCCGGCUCAUCUUGGAAGAGUACGUGCCAGAAAGACCACGACCAAGCAGCCUUGAGAUCUUAGACAGCGUCUCCCUGAGGUCCCUCUCUAUCUCCCCACACAUCCACCAACCACUGGAACACAUCUCCAAAGUUCUGCAGGGCCAGCUCAGCUUCCCCUCAGAAGAAGUGCCGCCACCUGCCAGAUGAAGGAGCCUUUUGAGAGGCAGCUGGCAUCGUGAUUGGACUGUACUUUGGUCUGUUCCAAUCCAGCUUCAGCUCCAAGAGAUUGCAGGCGGGACGAGUCAACGGAGGCCGGGUGGACGAAGGCAUGCAGCUGAGUACAAUCCAGAAAACAACAGAAGAGGAGUGCAGCAGCCCAGGGCCAGAACAAACAGAGUAGCAUGACCAAAGAACUACAGACUCUUCACAACCUGCUCAAACUCUUCGUACAGGACCUCACCACACGGAUCAAGAAGGUUUCCUUCUCAUUUCUACUCUGAAGCUCACCUUCUCCUUCUCAAACUACUGACAGUUGUUUCUGCUGCUCUAAAGUCUGGUCUCCAGAACUUCCUAAAAACUCUCAAAGUCUCUUCUGCUGCAGGUUGCUUUGUAGAACUGUUCCAGAAAACCUCACUAAACCACAUGGAGGAGC
ensembl:lncRNA